CGUGUGCUUACACAUGGUUUGUCUGCUGAGGGCUCUUCUCAGCUGUGAAGGACUCUCAAGCUCAGGGGGCAGAAGGCCCUGUACCCUGAGGGGAAGACGUUCUUAGGAGUGGAGAUAAACCAUGUGAGGAACAAAAUGGCUUUCUAUAGCUAGGACUUGGUUAUUACUGAAGAGUUGACUUGCUAAGUUACAUAAAUAACUAAUGGGGCUAUAAAAUCCUCAGCAGGAGUGAAGGAAUACAAUCAGCAACACGAAGCUGAGGGAGGCUAGCAGACAAAAGAAAGAAAAAAAUUGUGACCUGUGGAAAUAAUCUGAACAUUUUGGGAAUUGAAGUCAUAGUUGGUGGUACCUACUUGAUCACCAAGCAGCUUUUCACAGAU